UACAGAGGGUGCGAGCGUUAUUCGAAAUUAUUGGGCGUAAAGCGCGCGUAGGUGGCGAGGCAAGUCUCGUGUGAAAUCCUCGGGCUCAACCCGAGAACGUCAUGGGAUACUACCUUGCUAGAGUAUAAGAGGGGAGAGCGGAAUUCCCAGUGUAGAGGUGAAAUUCGUAGAUAUUGGGAGGAACACCGGUGGCGAAAGCGGCUCUCUGGCUUAUCACUGACACUCUGGCGCGAAAGCGUGGGGAUCAAACAGG
rnacentral:rRNA from 1 species